AACCAUUCUCACCUGCGGCUAGACCUGCGGAAGGAUCAUUACCGAGUUUACAACUCCCAAACCCAUGUGAACAUACCUAUCGUUGCUUCGGCGGGAUCGCCCCGGGCGCCUCGUGUGCCCCGGAUCCGGCGCCCGCCUAGGAACCUUAACUCUUGUUUUAUUUUGGAAUCUUCUGAGUAGUUUUUACAAAUAAAUAAAAACUUUCAACAAUGGAUCU
rnacentral:misc_RNA from 1 species